AUCCAUUCCAAAAACAGCACGAAAAUCGGCUUUGAAGGAUGACAGGGGAUAUCCAGCCCCUUUCCAGUUCGCUGAUGUAUCUCGGAGGUACAGAGGAAGCCAGGUUACAAAUGUUUUGAGCCAUGUUGGAACAGAAUCUCCGAGAAAUCCAAGAGUUUCCUCAUCACUUGCAUUUGGUGAAACUGCUGCACUUUGUGACUGUGCAAGUUCUG